rfam:Myotis lucifugus cont2.45539, whole genome shotgun sequence.
GGAGGUUCUUGGGUGAUGCACCCAGAAUCAGGCUCCCUCCUCUCUGGUUCCAGGGUGCAUCCCCUGAGAACCGCU